CUGUACUUUAAAUGUAUCAUACAUGAAUUUCUCACAUUUGUCUCCAAUGCACUGGCGAGCAUUUACCUGCACUUACCACAACUGUUGAUGAUAUUAAAGUAAAACAAUACAGAGACUUUCACAUGUGCAUUAAUUCAUUCUAAAAGCUAUUCAUACAUACUGUCAAUCUGAAGGAAAGAUGUCAAAGAUCAACUAAUUGCACAUAUAUAAACAUGUCAUAGUUGAAGGAAUCUCAGAAAAUACAGCUGGUAUUCCACAGAGUAUGCGGGCUCAACAAAUUCAUAAAACAGCCGCUGCGAUAGGUAAAAAUUCAUUGGAUUUCUGUUGAAAGUUGGCUGUGUGUAAGCAAGAGCAGACUCAUUUUUCAAGCAACAGGU